GGGUUGUGAGGUUAAGCGACUAAGCGUACACGGUGGAUGCCCUGGCAGUCAGAGGCGAUGAAGGGCGUGCUAAUCUGCGAUAAGCGCCGGUAAGGUGAUAUGAACCGUUAUAACCGGCGAUACCCGAAUGGGGAAACCCAGUGUGAUUCGUCACACUAUCAUUAACUGAAUCCAUAGGUUAAUGAGGCGAACCGGGGGAACUGAAACAUCUAAGUACCCCGAGGAAAAGAAAUCAACCGAGAUUCCCCCAGUAGCGGCGAGCGAACGGGGAGGAGCCCAGAGCCUGAAUCAGCAUGUGUGUUAGUGGAAGCGUCUGGAAAGGCGCGCGAUACAGGGUGACAGCCCCGUACACAAAAGCGCAUGUGUUGUGAGCUCGAUGAGUAGGGCGGGACACGUGGUAUCCUGUCUGAAUAUGGGGGGACCAUCCUCCAAGGCUAAAUACUCCUGACUGACCGAUAGUGAACCAGUACCGUGAGGGAAAGGCGAAAAGAACCCCGGCGAGGGGAGUGAAAAAGAACCUGAAACCGUGUACGUACAAGCAGUGGGAGC
rnacentral:rRNA from 2 species